UCCCACCAAAGCCUUUUCCUCCACCACUUCCAGUCUACAAGAAGCCACUCCCACCUCCAGUUCCAAUCUACAAGCCAGAGCCAAAACCACCAGUCUUCAAGCCUCCUCCGGUCCCAAUCUACAAGAAGCCACUCCCACCUCCAGUUCCAAUCUACAAGCCAGAGCCAAAACCACCAGUCUUCAAGCCUCCUCCGGUCCCAAUCUACAAGCCAAAACCACCAGUCUUCAAGCCUCCUCCGAUCCCAAUCUACAAGAAGCCACUCCCACCUCCAGUUCCAAUCUACAAGCCAGAGCCAAAACCACCAGUCUUCAAGCCUCCUCCGGUCCCAAUCUACAAGAAGCCACUCCCACCUCCAGUUCCAAUCUACAAGCCAGAGCCAAAACCACCAGUUUUCAAGCCUCCUCCGGUCCCAAUCUACAAGCCAAAACCACCAGUCUUCAAGCCUCCUCCGGUCCCAAUCUAUAAGAAGCCACUCCCACCUCCAGUUCCAAUCUACAAGCCAGAGCCAAAACCACCAGUUUUCAAGCCUCCUCCGGUCCCAAUCUACAAGCCAAAACCACCAGUCUUCAAACCCCCUCCUGUUCCAGUCUACAAACCAAAGCCAAAACCACCAAUCUACAAGCCUCUCCCACCUCCUGUUCCCAUCUCCAAGCCUCUCCCUCCAAUCCCAAAGAUCCCUCCAUUUUAUAAGAAGCCAUUGCCCC
rnacentral:lncRNA from 1 species